rnacentral:rRNA from 1 species
AUUGAACGCUGGCGGCAGGCCUAACACAUGCAAGUCGAACGAGUGGCGGACGGGUGAGUAAUGUCUGGGAAACUGCCCGAUGGAGGGGGAUAACUACUGGAAACGGUAGCUAAUACCGCAUACCAUCGGAUGUGCCCAGAUGGGAUUAGCUUGUAGGUGAGGGAACGGAUCACCUAGGCGACGAUCCCUAGCUGGUCUGAGAGGAUGACCAGCUACACGGGAACUUAGUCAGGGUCCAGAGUCCUACGGGCGGGAGAAGUGGGGAGUAUGGCACAAUGGGCGCAAGCCUGAUGCAGCCAUGCGGCGUGUAUGAAGAAGGCCUUCGGGUUGUAAAGUACUUUCAUCGGGGAGGCGUUACCCGCAGAAGAAGCACCGUCUAACUCCGUGCCAGCAGCCGCGGUAAUUC